UGCAGUCGAACGCGAAAGUUUCUUCGGAAAUGAGUAGAGUGGCGCACGGGUGAGUAACGCGUGGAUAAUCUACCUAUUGGUACGGGACAACAGUUGGAAACGACUGCUAAUACCGUAUAAGCUGGAAACGGGAAAGGGGGCCUCUUCUUGAAAGCUCUCGCCAGUAGAUGAGUCCGCGUUUCAUUAGCUAGACGGUGGGGUAACGGCCUACCGUGGCAACGAUGAAUAGCAGGCCUGAGAGGGUGGCCUGCCACACUGGGACUGGAACACGGCCCAGACUCCUACGGGAGGCAGCAGUGGGGAAUAUUGCGCAAUGGACGAAAGUCUGACGCAGCGACGCCGCGUGGAGGAUGAAGGUUUUCGGAUCGUAAACUCCUGUCAAGAGGGAAGAAACCUAUUAAGAAUAAUACUCUUAGUAAUUGACGGUACCUCUAGAGGAAGCACCGGCUAAUUCAGUGCCAGCAGCCGCGGUAAUACUGAAGGUGCAAGCGUUAAUCGGAAUCACUGGGCGUAAAGCGCUCGUAGGUGGCUUUGUAAGUCAGAUGUGAAAGCCCACGGCUCAACCGUGGAAUUGCAUUUGAUACUGCAUCGCUAGAGUAUAGGAGAGGGAAGUGGAAUUUCUGGUGUAGGAGUGAAAUCCGUAGAGAUCAGAAGGAACACCGGUGGCGAAGGCGACUUCCUGGACUAUUACUGACACUGAGGAGCGAAAGCGUGGGGAGCAAACAGGAUUAGAUACCCUGGUAGUCCACGCCGUAAACGAUGGGUACUAAGUGUCGGAGGCUUGACCUUCGGUGCUGUAGUUAACGCGUUAAGUACCCCGCCUGGGGAGUA
rnacentral:rRNA from 1 species